UGCUCAAGAAGUCUGUUCUUGAGAAACAGUCUUACACUUCUUGUAACAGAAGUGGCAGUCCAAGGGUCUGAGUCUCACAAGUGAAAGUAUGGCUUGCUGAAGAGCACAGCGGUCUUGUGGCCAGGAAAUGGUGUUUUUUCAUGGUGUGAAACACGUGGCUCUUCAGUUACUGGAAGGAUAGAGAAGGAGGUACUUCAGUGGUGCAGACAAAUGUGGUGCAAGGAAUUUUUCUAUAUGAUUAGAGGCCUCUCCUCAUCAGAUCUUAUCUGGAAAUGACUGAGACUCAUGUACCUUUAAAGAAUCCACUAAAUAGUAGCUGUAAUGUGGAGGAUCACUGACUCCACUCUGACUGUACCACCCUGUAUUUGGAGUCUUGAAAAAAGGAUGUUAUGAAUCUUGUGUGGUACUGGUUGCCUGACCCCCCAGGAGCAGAAGCAGAAAGGCACUAAUUCAUACAGUGCUGAAUAAAUCCGUGAGAAAACCUGGCAGAGAAAAGGAGCUAAAGGUUAGUUGAUCGGAACAAUCUCAACACACACCACCUGUCUGCUCCCCCCUCCCCCUACCAGAUUUGAACCAGCUCUUCUGAAGCCUAGAAGUGCUUUCUAGUAACCCACUGUAUCAGCAAAAGAAAUAAUUCCUAUGGGAAUAAACAGGUAAGGCAGCCAUGACUUUUAUCAGUCAAAAUUACUGGGCCAAAUUUUGCAUAUCCUCCAUUUGUAUUCUGUUAAAUUACUGCUGCCAUCAAAAGGAAUAAUUUUGCUUGAGUCAAAGGACAGUGAUGGCAUGGUGCUGCUGGACUGAGUGAGUGUGUCUGGAUCUGUUUACUACUUGACUGCGGGAGGACCAGCAACACUUGUCUGUCACAUCAGUGAGAAAGGAGCCAUGACUUGUGUUUGCCAAGUGAAAAAAUCACACCAAAUGAUUAGCCAGAAGGACCCAAUAUCACAGCUGAACUGUCAGACAAGAAUUAGAGAAAUAAACAGGACUGCAUGAUUUGUCUGUAUGAUCUACAUUUUAAAAAGACAAUCUGGCAGCAUUUUUAGGAGACUUGGAAAAUGUGAGUUUUUGUCUGUGCUCAUUGUACUCUGGAAAGCUCUCACCAGCCUCUCUCCUCCCUCAGUGCUGCCUGUGAGGAUGGCUCUUUGGGUAAGAACAAGCCCCAGAUGGCAGCAGGUUGAUGGGAUGGCCCAGCAGAAAGGGAGCCAUUCUUGAGCCCUUAGAAGUAGCUUUGCUUAUUCCAGCAGAAGUACAGGAUAGGGCUCUUUUUGUUUAUUUUGGAACAUUGAGGGUAGGUAGGUAUUGUCCAUUGCAAAUUUAAUCUGAAAUAAUAGAAGAGAGAGGGGAGAAACUCUAGCAUAAGGCUGCAACCUUUUAGUCAACUGAAUUAAUGCUCUACUCCAAGUGUCUUUUUCUGAUGGUGGGCUUAGACUACAGUAGGACAGACUGCACACCUCUCCUUUGAUGCUGUUCUAUAUAUAAAGUCUAGAGUUUAGAUUCCCCAAAGGAUCUUAGUACAUUUAGCAGCUUUUUCGAAGUUGUAAGGAAACAGUUGUAGUUUAGUUGAUUUAUAAAAUAUAUGCUUUUAAUUGACUCCU